CGAACUUGGCAGAGAUGCCUUGGUGCCUUCGGGAACGCUGAGACAGGUGCUGCAUGGCUGUCGUCAGCUCGUGUUGUGAAAUGUUGGGUUAAGUCCCGNAACGAGCGCAACCCUUAUCCUUUGUUGCCAGCGAUUCGGUCGGGAACUCAAAGGAGACUGCCGGUGAUAAACCGGAGGAAGGUGGGGAUGACGUCAAGUCAUCAUGGCCCUUACGAGUAGGGCUACACACGUGCUACAAUGGCGCAUACAAAGAGAAGCGACCUCGCGAGAGCAAGCGGACCUCAUAAAGUGCGUCGUAGUCCGGAUCGGAGUCUGCAACUCGACUCCGUGAAGUCGGAAUCGCUAGUAAUCGUGGAUCAGAAUGCCACGGUGAAUACGUUCCCGGGCCUUGUACACACCGCCCGUCACACCAUGGGAGUGGGUUGCAAAAGAAGUAGGUAGCUUAACCUUCGGGAGGGCGCUUACCACUUUGUGAUUCAUGACUGGGGUGAAGUCGUAACAAGGUAGGCGUAGCGAG
rnacentral:rRNA from 1 species